rnacentral:lncRNA from 1 species
AUUUCGGGACUGACUCCACCCCGUCCCGCGCAGCCAUCCAGCGGGGUUGGGGCUACGGAGCCGACCCCCUACUCGGCUGGCCUUGGAGGGCACUGAACCACUCUGGCGCCGAGUCACGCCUUGGAACGCCGCCCCUUCCUACGCGGUUUUCACCUGCCCUUGUUCACCGCCUCUUCAUCUACUUGGAUUUGGCUCGAAUAAACCCUCAGCUCCCGGCCAGCGCUGAGAGCCCUGGCGGAAGAGUGGGUAGCGGUGGCCUUAAGUAUUAAAUCUGUGGCGUCGGAGCCUGCUUCUUGGGGGAGAGACUCGUUGAAAAGGGAGUGUGUUGGGGAGGUGUUGUGCGCUGAGGGGAGUUAGAACUUCCCGGUCGGUUACCCAGUGGGAAGCUGCGGGGCACAAAGCCCAGAAUUUGCUGCUAAUCGCUGGGUGCCCUGGAGACAGAGGGGGCGUGUCCUCUGCGGAUUCCAUUCUCACCUUCCCCUCCCGCUUCUGAUCUCGCUGUUUGCUCCACCCUUGCUCCCCACCCACUAUCAGCUCCAGCGGGUGGGGGUGAAGGGCUGUCC